rnacentral:rRNA from 1 species
GUGCGCGUCUAUAAUGCAAGUCGAGCGGACAGAAGGGAGCUUGCUCCCGGAUGUUAGCGGCGGACGGGUGAGUAACACGUGGGUAACCUGCCUGUAAGACUGGGAUAACUCCGGGAAACCGGAGCUAAUACCGGAUAGUUCCUUGAACCGCAUGGUUCAAGGAUGAAAGACGGUUUCGGCUGUCACUUACAGAUGGACCCGCGGCGCAUUAGCUAGUUGGUGAGGUAACGGCUCACCAAGGCGACGAUGCGUAGCCGACCUGAGAGGGUGAUCGGCCACACUGGGACUGAGACACGGCCCAGACUCCUACGGGAGGCAGCAGUAGGGAAUCUUCCGCAAUGGACGAAAGUCUGACGGAGCAACGCCGCGUGAGUGAUGAAGGUUUUCGGAUCGUAAAGCUCUGUUGUUAGGGAAGAACAAGUGCAAGAGUAACUGCUUGCACCUUGACGGUACCUAACCAGAAAGCCACGGCUAACUACGUGCCAGCAGCCGCGGUAAUACGUAGGUGGCAAGCGUUGUCCGGAAUUAUUGGGCGUAAAGGGCUCGCAGGCGGUUUCUUAAGUCUGAUGUGAAAGCCCCCGGCUCAACCGGGGAGGGUCAUUGGAAACUGGGAAACUUGAGUGCAGAAGAGGAGAGUGGAAUUCCACGUGUAGCGGUGAAAUGCGUAGAGAUGUGGAGGAACACCAGUGGCGAAGGCGACUCUCUGGUCUGUAACUGACGCUGAGGAGCGAAAGCGUGGGGAGCGAACAGGAUUAGAUACCCUGG